GGCCUGGCGACGGUUGUCCAGGUUCAAGUGCGUAGGCUGAGUGUUUAGGUAAAUCCGGACACUCUUAAGGCUGAGACACGACGUCGAGCUACUACGGUAGUGAAGUCAUUGAUGCCAUGCUUCCAGGAAAAGCCUCUAAGCUUCAGAUUGUAAGGAAUCGUACCCCAAACCGACACAGGUGGUCGGGUAGAGAAUACCAAGGCGCUUGAGAGAACUCGGGUGAAGGAACUAGGCAAAAUGGUACCGUAACUUCGGGAGAAGGUACGCUCUUGAUGGUGAAGUCCCUUGCGGAUGGAGCUGACGAGAGUCGCAGAUACCAGGUGGCUGCAACUGUUUAUUAAAAACACAGCACUGUGCAAAAUCGUAAGAUGACGUAUACGGUGUGACGCCUGCCCGGUGCCGGAAGGUUAAUUGAUGGGGUUAGCGUAAGCGAAGCUCUUGAUCGAAGCCCCGGUAAACGGCGGCCGUAACUAUAACGGUCCUAAGGUAGCGAAAUUCCUUGUCGGGUAAGUUCCGACCUGCACGAAUGGCGUAAUGAUGGCCACGCUGUCUCCACCCGAGACUCAGUGAAAUUGAAAUCGCUGUGAAGAUGCAGUGUACCCGCGGCUAGACGGAAAGACCCCGUGAACCUUUACUACAGCUUGGCACUGAACAUUGAACCUACAUGUGUAGGAUAGGUGGGAGGCUUUGAAGACGUGACGCCAGUUGCGUUGGAGCCGUCCUUGAAAUACCACCCUUGUAUGUUUGAUGUUCUAACGUUGGCCCCUAAUCGGGGUUGCGGACAGUGCCUGGUGGGUAGUUUGACUGGGGCGGUCUCCUCCCAAAGAGUAACGGAGGAGCACGAAGGUGGGCUAAUCACGGUUGGACAUCGUGAGGUUAGUGCAAUGGCAUAAGCCCGCUUAACUGCGAGAAUGACGGUUCGAGCAGGUGCGAAAGCAGGUCAUAGUGAUCCGGUGGUUCUGAAUGGAAGGGCCAUCGCUCAACGGAUAAAAGGUACUCCGGGGAUAACAGGCUGAUACCGCCCAAGAGUUCAUAUCGACGGCGGUGUUUGGCACCUCGAUGUCGGCUCAUCACAUCCUGGGGCUGAAGUCGGUCCCAAGGGUAUGGCUGUUCGCCAUUUAAAGUGGUACGCGAGCUGGGUUUAGAACGUCGUGAGACAGUUCGGUCCCUAUCUGCCGUGGGCGUUGGAAGAUUGAAGGGGGCUGCUCCUAGUACGAGAGGACCGGAGUGGACGAACCUCUGGUGUUCGGGUUGUGUCGCCAGACGCAUUGCCCGGUAGCUAAGUUCGGAAUCGAUAACCGCUGAAAGCAUCUAAGCGGGAAGCGAGCCCUGAGAUGAGUCUUCCCUGAUACUUUAAGUAUCCUGAAGGGUUGUUCGAGACUAGAACGUUGAUAGGCAGGGUGUGUAAGCGCUGUGAGGCGUUGAGCUAACCUGUACUAAUUGCCCGUGAGGCUUAACCAU
rnacentral:rRNA from 1 species